CUCUGUAGGCUGCUUGAAGUUUUGUAGCUGAAGCAUGAUGGUUCCUUAAAGUUGGUUCUGGUCGAGGACGAACAAUCCUAGGAGGUGCAGCUCUUGGAGAAGGAGCUCUUGGAGAAGCAGCUCGUGGAGGUGGAGGUGGGGGAGGAGAAGCAGCUUGUGGAGGGGAAGCAGCUCUAGGAGAAGCAGCCCUCGGAGAAGCAACCCUAGGAGAGGCAAUCCUCUGAGAGGGAACCCGUGGAGAAGCAGCUCUAUGAGGCACAAAAGGUGGUGUUCUUGGCUGCUCUGGAGGUGUGGGAGGCCUAAAUAUUAGUUUAUGCUCUCUUUCAGCCUCCCCCAGAAUUUUCUCAAUACUGCUAGGCUCUCUGAAGAGGGGAAUGAAGGAAUUGGUUUCUCCAUGCCUUAAU
rnacentral:lncRNA from 1 species